UACGGAGGGGGCUAGCGUUGUUCGGAAUUACUGGGCGUAAAGCGCACGUAGGCGGCUUUGCAAGUUAGAGGUGAAAGCCCGGGGCUCAACUCCGGAAUUGCCUUUAAAACUGCAUCGCUAAAAUUGUGGAGAGGUAAGUGGAAUUCCGAGUGUAGAGGUGAAAUUCGUAGAUAUUCGGAAGAACACCAGUGGCGAAGGCGACUUACUGGACACAUAUUGACGCUGAGGUGCGAAAGCGUGGGGAGCAAACAGG
rnacentral:rRNA from 1 species